GGCCCUGUAGCUCAGGGGAUAGAGCAGCGGUUUCCUAAACCGCGUGUCGGAUGUUCGAAUCAUCUCAGGGCCA
rnacentral:tRNA from 1 species